rnacentral:rRNA from 1 species
UACGUAGGGUGCGAGCGUUGUCCGGAAUUAUUGGGCGUAAAGAGCUUGUAGGUGGUUUGUCGCGUCUGCUGUGAAAAUCCGAGACUCAACCUCGGACUUGCAGUGGGUACGGGCAGACUAGAGUGUGGUAGGGGAGACUGGAAUUCCUGGUGUAGCGGUGGAAUGCGCAGAUAUCAGGAGGAACACCGGUGGCGAAGGCGGGU